UACGUAGGGGGCGAGCGUUGUCCGGAUUUAUUGGGCGUAAAGAGCGUGUAGGCGGCCAGGUAGGUCCGUUGUGAAAACUCGAGGCUCAACCUCGAGACGUCGAUGGAAACCAUCUGGCUAGAGUCCGGAAGAGGAGAGUGGAAUUCCUGGUGUAGCGGUGAAAUGCGCAGAUAUCAGGAGGAACACCAAUUGCGAAGGCAGCUCGCUGGGACGUUACUGACGCUGAGACGCGAAAGCGUGGGGAGCAAACAGG
rnacentral:rRNA from 1 species